AUAGCGUAUAUUAAAGUUGUUGCAGUUAAAAAGCUCGUAGUUGAAUUUCGGGAUCAGUUGGUCGGUCGUGCCUCGGUACGUACUGGUCAAAUUGAUUCCUACCUUCUGACGAACCACGAUGUCAUUAAUUUGGUGUCGCGGGAAAUCAGGACUGUUACUUUGAAAAAAUUAGAGUGUUUAAAGCAGGCUCGCGCUUGAAUACAUUAGCAUGGAAUAAUGAAAUAGGACGUUUGAUUCUAUUUUGUUGGUUUCUAGGAUCGACGUAAUGAUUAAUAGGGAUAGUUGGGGGCAUUAGUAUUCAAUUGUCAGAGGUGAAAUUCUUGGAUUUAUUGAAGACUAACUACUG
rnacentral:rRNA from 1 species